UUCCAAGCAACAGUGUUGGGUCCACAGGUAGUGUUCGACUGCCAACCAAGUAACAGAUCAUGGGCAACUCUCUGAUCAAAUCCCGGAGACGAAAGACAAAAUUCGGUCUCCCUGAUCACCUUACGAUAAUAAAACCAUGAAACAGA